UAAGGUGGUUAUUGCGUCGGGGCUCACCUCUUCCCAUACCGAACAGAGAAGUUAAGUCCGAUUGCGCAGAUGGUACUGCAAAUUUGUGGGAGAGUAUGUCGCCGCCUUUC
rnacentral:rRNA from 1 species